UCCACUCCUCCUCGAUGGUUAUGUGAUUGGAGCAGUAUGAGCGUUUUGUUUUACUUUCCCCCUGGCUCAUUUUUGUUUACAUUGGUUGCUAUGGUUUCAGUUCCGGUAAUCGUUGAGGGAGCCAGUGCAAAAGCCGUAGUCCGCUCGCCGGCUCUUCCUCUGAUCCCAUUGUCACUUCCGGGUUAGAGGUCGCGUCCCCGACAGGGCGGCUGGUUGUGUGCUGCUCCGUGCUCCCUAUGUGCGCUGCUGUGGUUGCGUCGUUGGCGGUGGUGAGUGUCGUCUCUCCCUGGUUGUUGGUUGGUGCUACUCGGUGGCUAACGCUAGUGCGGUCACAGUUGCUGUAGGCCGGUGGCGGUGAUCUGGUGGUGGCAUCCUCCCGUCUCUCUUUUUCGUCACUGAAGUGAUUUUGUUGUGGUUUUCUUUGGUUCCCUCCCCUGCUCUAGCCUUUGUCCAUCCACUUUGGCCUCAGCCCUGAUUAUGUUUGUCCCCUUUUUUUGUUGGUAUGAAUGAGUUUUAUUGAGAUUUUAGAAUCUAAGGUUUAAUAAAAAUGAUAUGUUAACUUGGAACCACGUCUCCUG